AUUGAACGCUGGCGGCAGGCCUAACACAUGCAAGUCGCACGAGUGGCGGACGGGUGAGUAAUGUAUGGGACACGGCCUGAUGGAGGGGGACAACUAAUGGAAACGGUAGCGAAUACCGCCUGCCAUCGGCUGGGCCCAGAUGGGAUUAGCUAGUAGGUGGGGUAAAGGCUCACAUAGGCGACGAUCCCUAGCUGGUCUGAGAGGAUGACCAGCCACACUGGAACUGAGACACGGUCCAGACUCCUACGGGAGGCAGCAGUGGGGAAUAUUGCACAAUGGGCGCAAGCCUGAUGCAGCCAUGCCGCGUGUAUGAAGAAGGCCUUCGGGUUGUAAAGUACUUUCAGCGGGGAGGCGUUACCCGCAGAAGAAGCACCGGCUAACUCCGUGCCAGCAGCCGCGGUAAUUC
rnacentral:rRNA from 1 species